CUGAAAAGAAGAGUCAUAGCCACUUCACAGAGCAAUUUACCACUGCACGCAGCUUCAUUUCUCGGGAGACAAAUGGCUUACAGUGCUGAGAAGCAAGCCAUCAUGAAGGUGGGAGUUUUGCUCCUUGGAUUCUGUUUCCUGUCUGUAUUUUAGGAAAGUAUGAUGGCUGUGUAUUGCCCUGUCAGAAAUUUUCUAUGGACCUGGUAGUUGUGGCCACUGAGACCUCAAGCUUCAUAUGAAUUGUAACGUGGGUAUUCUGAGCUUCUGGGCUAAUAUCAACUUAUCAGACUUUUAUCAUGAAGUAAUAUUGGAUUUUGUCAAAGGCCUCUUCUGCAUCUGUUGAGAUGAAUCUUUGUUUUUGGGAUGAAACCAACAUGAUCAUGGAGUAUGUUCAUGUGAGUGCUGGUACCUGCAGAAACCAGAGGCAUCAGAAAGCCAGGAGCUGGAGUUACUAGCAGUUGUAAUCAGCCAGAUGAGCAUGCUAAGAACCAAAUCCAAGUCUUCUGCAAAAACAGAUGCACGCCUGACACUGAGUCAUCUCUCCAAACAUCUUGGAAUUUCUUGAAGAUACAUUGAU